rnacentral:rRNA from 1 species
GACGAACGCUGGCGGCGUGCUUAACACAUGCAAGUCGUACGGAAAGGCCCUGCUUUUGUGGGGUGCUCGAGUGGCGAACGGGUGAGUAACACGUGAGUAACCUGCCCUUGACUCUGGGAUAACUUCAGGAAACUGGGGCUAAUACCGGAUAGGAGCUCCUGCUGCAUGGUGGGGGUUGGAAAGUUUCGGCGGUUGGGGAUGGACUCACGGCUUAUCAGCUUGUUGGUGGGGUAGUGGCUUACCAAGGCUUUGACGGGUAGCCGGCCUGAGAGGGUGACCGGCCACAUUGGGACUGAGAUACGGCCCAGACUCCUACGGGAGGCAGCAGUGGGGAAUAUUGCACAAUGGGCGGAAGCCUGAUGCAGCAACGCCGCGUGCGGGAUGACGGCCUUCGGGUUGUAAACCGCUUUCGCCUGUGACGAAGCGUGAGUGACGGUAAUGGGUAAAGAAGCACCGGCUAACUACGUG